ACGGGAAGCAAGUUGGGUCUUGUGCUGCUAGAAUGAACAUUAAUGUGAAAGAAUAUUCAACGUUAGAUGAACACACAAAGAAGGGGUUUUGGGAGGAGACCAAGCUUAUGUUCCACAUUAUUGAUGAUCCGGCUAAAAGGAGAGAAAAAUAUUUUCAUAUGUGUGUGGCGAAACGCUUUGGAGCUUUCAAGUCCAGGUUAACGCGGUGUUGGAUAACUAAGUAAGAAAAAAUGCCGAAACAUCAGACAGACGACAUGCCUUGGGACAUCUACAAUCAAAUCACAGAGGAUGAUUGGAAAACAUUUGUGAUGGAACGAAACAAGCCGGAGAUGUUGGUUCGUAGAGAAAAAGCAAGUAAAAGUGCAUUACAAAACAAGCACCCACAUCGCACAGGCCAAAAGGGUUAUGUUAGAAAGAGACCAAAGUGGAUAAAUGA